GCUGGUUUUGAAUUUUGUUUUCUAAGCAAGAUAAUGAUCUCAGCCAUUGUUCUAGAUAAAGCAGAGUUGUCUAAUUCUCACGAGCAUGAUUCUGGCUAUUUACUCCUUGUACACUCAAAAUGCUGCAUCAGCACAGAGAGCCUGUUAUAAGACGAAGACAUAGUUCUGUUUUCUGGUGGGGUUGAGCAGAUUGGCUCCAAUGUCUUCAGAUCUCACAUGUUGUUAAGAACUAAACUUUCAAAAAAAAAAAAAAAAAUUUGAGACAGCUUCCCUGUGGCCUGCCCUCUGGCCUUGAGAUCCUCCAUUUGGGCCACAACAGGAUACAAAGCCUGCAAGAGUCAUUCCUGGAGGGCCUCAAGAAGCUGCGGGUCCUGAACCUCCAGAAUAACCAGAUUAGCACCUUGCGUGCAAACAACGAAAAGCUUGAGUGUCUUUACCUAGAUGGAAAUAAAAUUAAGCCAAUACAUUGCACCCCAGGUUGCCCUUUCUAAAUUUGCUUAUAGCAUGGGAAGCAAUAGGAUCUCCUGAAUUUCAUCAACAUUCUUCUUCUCACUGCAACUAUCUAUUAUCUGUACAGGAAUCAGAUCUGCUUACUGAGGAAUCAUUACAUGUCCCAGCUGCACAACAGCUAUAACAGACUAGUAUCAGUGGAUGGGGGUCUUCGCCUGCCUAAUCUGUGCGAGUUGGCUGGAAACCAGCUACGAAUACUGCCUAGUAGAUUGGCCUCUAAACUUGAGAAGCUAGACUGCAGACAGAACAAUAUCCAGGAAGUGACUUUUCAGCGGAUAGCAGGGAUGAAACAACAUAAACAUCUCUUUGGAAAACAACACCAUCCACAUUUUUGAAGCUAAUGCCCUGUUGCCUUGCCAAUUAGAUGAAAUAAAACAAGUUUUAUUUUAUUUUAUUUUAGUUAAUGUUCUUUUUUUCAAGUAAUUAAUGUUUUUAUGGUUAUGGCUUUAGUUUUAGUUAACUAUACCAUAAUAUCCCUGAUGGCAAUUAAUCUCAUGUAUUUAUAACAAAUAUUUAUUUAUUCAUCUAUGCAUGUACUGUAUUUACGCAUGCAUGCAUUAUGCAUUUAUUUAUGCAUUUAUUUUUUAGACUGAAAAUGAUCUAAUACUAUGAUCUAUUGGUCAUGCCAAAUGCCUCAAGAAUCUCUUAAUAAUUGUUUUUAUUAAUCAAUUCUUUUAUAUUCUUAUUAUACCAGGGUUCCUGAGACACUGGUCCAUUUGGAAGGGGAACAACAUUGACACAAUACAUAAAUGUGAGCUGAGGCCUCACAGGCGACUACAGGUGUUAAAUCUGCGCCACAACAAACUCUCCACUCUUCCUGCAUUGAACCUACCAAAAAUAAAACUUCUGUAUUUGGAUAGAAACCCAUGGCAGUGCAGCUGUGAACUCCUUGAGGUCGAAAUCAGGCCUGAUCUCUGCAGCAAGCCUGUCUAUGCAUCUCUUGAUGAUGAAUGGCGAGUGUAUGAAUUGGCACAAGAUAUCUGUGAGGAGGAGACCAAGGAUUUUUUGUUAGAGAGCCAAGCUGAACACAUAGACAAUGAGGAAUAUGGUGAUUAUGAUUUGUAAAAGUAAUCCUGUGAAGACAAAACAUAACUGCAAUGUACAGCUUUGCAUUUCUGCCUGUUUUAUUUCUGGCAUCCCUUAUAGAACCAACCAUAAACAAUCAAAUUUGA